rnacentral:lncRNA from 1 species
AAAAUUGAUUGGAGCAAAGCACCAUUUUUGGCUUAUUACAAGGAUUUUGACAUUGAAGGGUGUCCAGUUCCAGGGCCAGCAAAUUGUGCUAGUAACCCUAGGAACUGGUGGGAAGGUACUGCUUAUCAAGCUCUUAAUGCCAUGGAAGCUAGGAGAUACAGGUGGGUUCGGAUGAACCACAUGAUCUACGAUUACUGCACCGACAAGUCUCGGUACCCGGUCACCCCACCGGAGUGCAUGGCAGGUAUAUGAAGUACUAUCAAGAGUUCCCAUUAUUCCAUAUCCAACUGAACUGUCCAGAAUAUUUGAUAUACCAAUAUGUUACUUGUCAUAUAUACUUUGAUGUAUAUGC